UACAGAGGUCCCAAGCGUUUGUUCGGAAUUACUGGGCGUAAAAGGGCCAGUAGGCGGCCAACUAAGUCGGAUGUGAAAUCCCCAGGCUUAACCUGGGAACUGCAUCCGAUACUGGAUGGCUUGAAUCCGGGAGAGGGAUGCAGAAUUCCAGGUGUAGCGGUGAAAUGCCUAGAUAUCUGGAGGAAUACCGGUGGCGAAGGCGGCAUCCUGGACCGGCAGUUGACGCUGAGUGAGCGAAAGC
rnacentral:rRNA from 1 species